rnacentral:rRNA from 1 species
CUGAUUAGCUAGUUGGUGAGGUAAAGGCUCACCAAGGCGACGAUCAGUAGCUGGUCUGAGAGGACGAACAGCCACACUGGAACUGAGACACGGUCCAGACUCCUACGGGAGGCAGCAGUGAGGAAUAUUGGUCAAUGGGAGCAAUCCUGAACCAGCAAUGCCGCGUGUGGGAUGACAGGGCUUCGCCUUGUAAACCACUGUCGGACGGGACGAAAGGAGGCCUCGGGCCUCUGGGACGGUACCGUCAAAGGAAGGGUCGGCUAACUACGUG